rnacentral:lncRNA from 1 species
GGGCGACAGCUUCAGUUGACUGAGGAGAUGCGUGGACCAGCGAGCUAGCGAAGGAAGCAGCAGCUUUGUGCAUUGCUGAGGGCUGCUUCAAUGGAACGCCGCUGAUGGGCCGAACGUGCGAAGAUGAGGGUCAACGGUGGGGCUUCUUUGGUGAGUGGUUGACCGAGCAAAACCACUCCACGUGCAACUGAAGAAGACGAGCAGCUUCGGUGGGUUGAAGAAGCUGAUGAAGAUAUGCGGGCAAAUGAUGGCAGAAGCGGCAGCUCGGUGGAUUGGGCUUUGACCUUCUUCGCACAGCCAACGAUGGAAGUGGACUUGCGUGAAGAUGGGCUCGAUUGACUGGAUUUGUGGGGAUGG